UUAUGGCUCAGGAUGAACGCUAGCGACAGGCUUAACACAUGCAAGUCGAGGGGCAGCAUAAAAGUAGCAAUACGUUGGUGGCGACCGGCGCACGGGUGAGUAACGCGUAUGCAACCUACCUAUCGAGAGGGGAAUAACCCGGCGAAAGUCGGACUAAUACCGCAUAAAACAGGGGCACCGCAUGGUGAUAUUUGUUAAGAAAUUCGCUGAUAGAUGGGCAUGCGUUCCAUUAGGUAGUUGGUGAGGUAACGGCUCACCAAGCCGACGAUGGAUAGGGGAACUGAGAGGUUGGUCCCCCACACUGGUACUGAGACACGGACCAGACUCCUACGGGAGGCAGCAGUGAGGAAUAUUGGUCAAUGGGCGGGAGCCUGAACCAGCCAAGUCCGCGUGAAGGAAGAAGGAUCUAUGGUUCGUAAACUUCUUUUGCAGGGGAAUAAAGUGCAGGACGUGUCCUGUUUUGUAUGUACCCUGAGAAUAAGGAUCGGCUAACUCCGUGCCAGCCGCCGC
rnacentral:rRNA from 1 species